UGAACACCGGGAAGGAACUGGCACUUGGAGUCCGGACAUCUGAAACUUGGACUGUGAAUGCAGCCCGUGAAAAAGAGGGUUUUCGGAAGCUUGACAUUUAUGAGGGUGAGGAAUUGACAAGCCGACAUCAGUCUCCAGAGUGAAUCCAAGGAGUGGACCCAAGACAUUUGUGUUCUGUGAUGUGGUGGCAUGUUACCUGUCAUCUCCGAUGCAUAACUCCUAAAGUGCGUCUGGGGCAGUUGUACAGAUUGCAGAGGAUAAUACUCAAGAUGUUCUCCAAGGCCAACUAGUCAUCAGUUUAUUCAUGUUUCUGGGAUUGGAUUCAUGAACUCAUCCUUUGAACUAUUUCAACAAGCUUUUUCAUGUAACUAAUCUGCGGAAGGUAGAAAGGGGAAAACUGUUGGGUGCUAAAAUGACAACUGGUUCAAGACCCAAGUAGGUGUUCACAGUCAGUCCUGCAGGAAGAGAUUAGAGGAUCUAGUUACCCAGGGAUCAUCUCCAUUCCUUCCAACUGAAAGGGAAACAAACAAGGAGGAGCACGCCUGGGGAGGUUUUCACAGGCCAGGACUGGAAAUGCACAUUUCUCUUUUCCUCACAUUCCAAGCUCCCAAGAUGGUGGUGGGCCACUUCCAAGAUGGUGGCAAGAGUCGUAUUCUCUGACCUGGGGUUCUUGGUCUCAUGGAUUCCAAGGAAUGGAAUCUUGCGCCAUGUGGAGAAGCGUCAGAUAAUUAGGCAGCAGUCCAACAAUUAGGUUUUGUGGAACUUUUACUAUGUCAUCUAUUUAUUGGAAUUCCCCCUGGAUACCAGGACCCCCUCCAGCAGAGCUUAAAGUUAUAGUUACAGGAAGUACAAAUUCCUUAUGUGGAUCCCUGGAAGUGUGAUGAGAAGAACCACUGUUUCCAAGAUCUAUUUAUUCUAUUUAUCAGGCCUAUAAAAUCAUGUAAUGGCCAUGGCUUCAACUAGACU
rnacentral:lncRNA from 1 species